rfam:Oryza brachyantha chromosome 3, whole genome shotgun sequence.
ACGACCUUACUUGAACAGGAUCUGUUCUAUAGGCUCGUACCGUUGCAUCCUUUACCGAAAGGGAGGCAAGCACUCAAGUCUGGCUGAUGAACCGUGGCUUCAGGGCUAGAGCGUGAUUAAUGGCCAGGAUUGUUCUCUCCGAGACGAUCAGACGGCUGUAGAGGAUCGUUCCUGGCAUGUGCUUCGCAUGCCGGGGUGGCCCUGAAGCUGUCUGACAGACC